AAGAGUUGGGCAUGCUAUAGCUGACCUGGCCACUCUCAGUUCUCAGGACUUGCUUACCUGGUCUUUUAUUUAAAAAAAAAAAAAUUGCCAGGCACAGUGGCGCAUGCCUGCAAUCCCAGUGGCAAGGGAUGCUGAGACAGGAGAAUCGUGAGUUCAAAGCCAGCCUCAGCAGCGGCUAGGUUCUGAGCAACUCAGUGAGACCCUGUUGUUAGGUCGGUGGCGGCGACUUAGUGGCAACUUAGAACAAAGCAGCCCGCACGGGAAAAGAACAUCAAUCAGAUGCUGGCGGAAACGCCUGUCAAUCAGCCAGAUCUCCUGAGCCUGUCAAUCAGCAGGACCCCCUGGCCAAUCCUGGAAUUCAGCCAACUCCCCUGACCAACUCCAAGGGGGCAAGGGACCCUAGAAACACCUUUUCCUGUCCCAAGCCCUUCCCUUCCUGCUGUAAGCCCCAUAAAAGUCCAGUCCGGUCGAGCUUCCACGCGGUUUCUCCUCAGACCCUUCCCCUGUCCCCUCUGUGGGUCUGAUGGAGUUCCGCCCGGGAGUGAUAUCUCAAUAAAGCCUGUUCAGCGGCCCUUUUA
rnacentral:lncRNA from 1 species